UAGAUGGCAAGCAGAAUGCCAAUAUUAUGAUUAUGAUAUUGUCGUUUUGAAAUCUGAUCAGAAUGUUCUUGCAGAUUUCCUCACAAGAGAUGGAGCUCCCUGAAGUGGAGGCCAUCGAGGCAAUACAGGGGCAGCUCUUUGCAAGUCUAGAGCUGCUACAACAAGAAUGGCAGAAGUGUGUACUACACACUAAACAAGCGGGAAAGAUACAAGCGGC
rnacentral:lncRNA from 1 species